CCAUGAAGGGCCAAAGUGUGGAUGAGGCCCUCUACUUUAACUGGAAAAGGUAUCACUCCCUCUGAACAUCCAACUUGUUUGUGAUGCAAGUGGAGUGAUCCUCAGCUACUGCUCCAGAUUGCCAGGUGCCUGCACUCUUGUGGAGGUGGCUUGCAGUACAGACCCAUCAAGUGUGUCAAAAUAAUUAAUGCUUGCCUGCUCUUACACAACUGCUGCAUCAAGUUCCUGAUGACCUACCACCUCUUGAGGAUGAAGCAGUGCCCCAUGCUGAUACCAACCCUGCCGUGCUGUAGAGGGAUCAGUGUGCUUCAGGCAGAAUUGUGUGGCAAGAAAUCAUACAAAACUUCUUCCAGCAAUGCAGUAAGGAAGUGAGAUUGUCAAAGUGCCUGGGACAUGUUUUGUACAGCCAGCUGCACCAUCACCAGCUCGUCCAUGCUCGGACUAAUCUGCUGUUGGGUUUCCUGUGCUUGAGAGAACUUCUGAGUGAGUCAGAGUGGCCACCUGCAGUACAGUUCAGAAGCAAACAUGACUUUACACCACAAGUUACAAAUUAAGUGGUAUUUUAAGUUACAUGUCAUGCUAUCUUGCUGUGUCCUUUUACCUCAUUUGCUCCUUGGACCUUUCUGCUAUGCUGUACCCAGGCUUGUGGUGUGAUGCACUUAUGGAAUCAACACUUUAUAUGCCUCAGAGAUGUAUUCCUCAAAAAAAAAAAAAGUCAAAAUAGCAAGAACAACAGACUUAGUGGCAGGAGUUGUAUAAUCAUUGUUCAUUGUACUGGAGGACACAACUGAAUACAUGUUAACAUGUUAUUCACCAUUGCAUGUAGUCAUCUGUAACAUGGAUAAUUUGAACAAAGAUGUUCUCAUCCAGUGCAGAUGACACAGCAUUGUCAAAUCCAGAGGCCCCUGCAGACCCAGCAACAUCAGCAGAAGAGGGUUGGGUGACUUCAACACCACUGCUGGUGGAAGGCUGUGGUCCUAGAGGCCCUGACACUUCUGGAAAAAAAAAAAAAAAAAAACUGGUGUCAUUACUGCAGGUAGAGAAUAAGCUGGUAUUCUUUGAGUGAUGUUUUUAUUGACAAAUUUUUCUUUUAAUUAGCAGUCAACCUAGUCAUGUCUGUGUUUAUCACAUGGUUUUGCUGAGUUGAUGAGCAAAUGUGCAGAUAUCUACAUUCAUGAAGAUGAGUGUUGGACAUGAUGCUGCCAGCCCCAUGGAAGAUGAUGCUGUAACACAAUUAUUGUUACAUUACAGUACUACACUUAAAAACAGCAUUAAUUUACAAAAUGUAAUUUGCCCUUUGUUAGUUUACUUAUGCAGUGUGGCACCAUCACUUUCAGGGUAUGGCAGUCCUGCAAAUGUUGUGUGAGACAACAUCCACAGCAUGACCAACUCCACAGCAGUGUGUGUUGUCUCAUCUGGAGGCCCCCACCUGCAUGGAUAUGAAUGUUGCAAUUAUCACCCACUUAGAAGUUCACAUGUAAAGCCAAAUCAACUUGGUGUAAAUCAUGAAUGCAUUAGAGCACAAUAAUGUUAUCUAGCACUGCAGUGGUCACUGUCUCAGACCUGACUGCCAGAGGUACUGUACAUACUCCUAUUUAUAAUCCAUUGCUUAGUUGGUUCUUGGUUAUGUUUAUUGACUAUAUGGGUAAAUUUUGUAACAGCACCAAUAAUGAAAUACAACAUGUACAAAAGAGCAAA